AAACAUCAAAAUGGAGAUGAACGGAGAAAAGCAGGAGAGCUCCAGCGUGGAGGAAGGCAGGAAGGGGAGGAUGACGCUUCCUCUUGCGCUGGUAACGCUGAUCUCUGCCUUUGGAUCGUCCUUCCAGUACGGCUACAACGUGUCCGUGAUCAACUCUCCAGCCCCGUACAUGCAAGACUUCUACAACCGAACCUACAUCGACAGGCAUGGAGUCCCCAUGGACGCGAGCUUCCAGACGCUGCUGUGGUCCCUCACUGUGUCCAUGUAUCCCCUGGGUGGCUUCUUUGGGUCACUCAUGGUGGGACCUCUGGUCAACAACUGUGGCCGAAAAGGCACCUUGCUGAUAAACAACCUCUUCUCCAUUGUUGCUGCAGUCCUUAUGGGAACCUCAGAGGUAGCAAAAACUUUUGAAGUAAUCAUCGUCUCCCGUGUUAUCAUGGGGAUAUAUGCUGGUCUGGCCUCCAACGUGGUUCCCAUGUUCCUGGGUGAAAUGUCCCCCAGGAAUCUCAGAGGUGCUAUUGGGAUAGUACCCCAGCUCUUCAUCACCCUUGGCAUCCUCAUAGCUCAGAUCCUCGGCCUUACCAGCAUCCUUGGGCAUGUCAAAGGCUGGCCCUUGCUCCUGGGGCUCACUGGGAUCCCAUCAGCACUUCAGCUCCUUACGCUGCCCUUUUUUCCUGAAAGUCCCAGAUAUCUGCUGAUACAAAAGGGCAAUGAGGAUGAAGCGCGACAAGCUCUGCAGCGUUUGAGAGGCUGGGAUGAUGUGGAUGAUGAGAUAGAAGAAAUGCGCCAAGAAGACAAGUCAGAAAAGGAAGAGGGACACCUCUCUGUGUUCACCCUGUGCACCUUCAGAGGCCUGCGCUGGCAGCUCAUCUCUAUCGUUGUCAUGAUGAUGGGCCAGCAGCUUUCAGGGAUCAAUGCAGUCUUCUACUAUGCAGACAGAAUCUUCCUGUCAGCAGGUGUGGAGACCGACCACGUUCAGUAUGUCACCGUGUCCAUAGGUGCCAUCAACGUCCUCAUGACUUUACUUGCUGUUUUCAUUGUGGAGUCCUUGGGAAGGAGAAUCCUGCUGCUUGCUGGCUUUGGGUUGUGCUGCGGCUCCUGUGCAGUGUUGACUUUGGCCCUCAACCUCCAGAACACUGUCUCAUGGAUGUCUUACCUCAGCAUAGUGUGUGUCAUCAUUUACAUCAUCGGACAUGCUAUUGGAGCCAGUCCGAUCCCCUUUGUGAUGAUCACUGAGAUGUUCCUGCAGUCAUCCCGGCCUGCCGCCUUCAUGGUGGGUGGCUCUGUGCACUGGCUCUGCAACUUCACUGUGGGACUCGUGUUCCUCUACAUGGAGGCUGGACUAGGGGCCUACAGCUUCCUCAUCUUCUGUGGUAUAUGCCUUGCCACCAUGGUCUACAUCUUCUUCAUUGUUCCUGAGACAAAGAACAAAACCUUCAUGGAAAUCAACAGAAUCAUGGCCAAGAGGAACAAGGUGGAGAUUCAGACAGAUGUGGAACAGAUGAUGGAUUUGCAGACUGUUCCAAGUGUGAAGGCAGACAAGUCAGAAGUUUUGGGCAGUGAUCUGUGACACAACCCAGUGCUUAGACUGGCCCAGGUGUUUUCCAGGAUCUGAUCAGUGGAAGAAUAUGGCUCAAUUCUGACCUUCAUUCAGACUUUCUGCACAACUCCCACAGAAGUUUUCAAAUAACCCUUUAUUUCUGUCUUAAGGUUGUUCUCAUUAUGAGUAAUCAGUGGGACCACUCUGCUUUGUGGCCUGGUGACUACAGAGGCAAGUUUUCCCAUUCCUUGUAUUUGUCACUAGGAAGGGGCAAUGCCUGCAGUCAGCGCAGUUCUGUGAUCAAAGAACUGAUGUCACAGUGUGGUGCACGUCCCUUAUGUCCUGACUGACCCACCUCAAGUGACACAGAACAAAACACCUGGGCUGGGUUUUGGUCAGUCACAUGCAAGAAGUGCAUUGUAUUCCUUGGCCAUUCUUUGAACAUGACUUUGAGGGUCAGCAUGUGUGAGGGCAGGCCUUUGAUGCUUGGUAUUCUGAGUGGAGUGUGUCAGAUGUGCCAAGGUGCUCUGAGAGAUGGGUUCAUAGGGGCAUGCAUCCUGUCACCUAUACAGAGGACCGUAAGACUGGAAAUGCACAUGGCUUUAAUCUCACCCUUACCCUGCUCACCAGACAGUCCUGAAAAGCUAACUGUUGCUGGUGAGUCCUUCCAGAGCCUUAUUCUUGAGCUUAGGAGUGUUCCAUUGGCCCUGUGCUUAUUCACGGGCUGCUGAUACACAGUUGUUCCUGUGGCACUCCAGUCUUUGGAAAUAGCUCCUUUUGUUCCUUAGUGCUCACACAUCAGCUGCCAGAGUUUCAGCCCCUCUCCUAAUCCUUUAAUAGCCCCCAGAGGCACUCUGAGUAUAUGAGCCAGGUGGAGCUCAUUCAUUCCCAGAGAUGUGUGAACUUAUUGUGUGCUGGGGUCAGGUUUGGGCAGUGACCAUGGGGCCGUGUUUCCAAGCAUGUCCAGAUCUGCCAUUGAGGGCACCUCAAUUGAGACAUUACAGAUAGUUUUCCAAGGAAUUAAUUUCCCAGGGACCUGGCCUCCUGAAAAAGUUCUCAGGUGUUUAAAGCCUGGUCCCUGAAUGGUUCCUUCUGGUUGUGACCCUAAGGGCACAGCUCCACCUGAAGGCUGAACUGGUUUGGAGAAGCAGAGUCUGAAGGACUAGAGCUGACUCACCAAGGAAAUAAAAGUGCACACUGAUAAGCGGAGGAUUUAUUAAAGUAUUUAUUAGUGCAAAGGAUUUUAGGGUUAACUACAUGAUUUAACAUGUGGAAAUAGAGUUAAUUGUUGCGCAAUGUUGCUGCUCUGUGGGGGGAAAAACAGCAGAAUGGUUCAACAGCCUGGCAUGGACUUUGGUGAUAGCCCUUCAUGUGAUGUACUUCAACUUAGGAGAUGAGUUUCAUACGGGCCCUCAGUCUUGUCUUGUGAUGUGCACCUGUUGGAAAUGAAGCUGCUCCCAUGCUCUGUCUCCAUCCAUUGACAGCAAAGACUUGUCGUCAAGCAAAGCACACUGACUGUGUGGGACCCACACUGCCCUUUGCAUACACUUUGCUAUGUGAUAUACCUGCAGGAGCGGUGACUGGUGAUCAAUGGGAAUAAAGCCUGGUGCAGGAAAGGCACUGAGAAUGGAGAUGGGACAUUGGAGGUGAGAAAAGUUUGGCUUGAGAGAGCUGUUCCUCUAAGCAAAGAAAGUGGCACGUGGGAUACAAAAGGAAGGUCCAUGGGUGGAAAUCUUAACCUAGCAGUGGGAGGGAUGUGCAGACACAAGGUGCUGAACUGUGCUCCGUUCUUUGCCUCUGUCCCACUGACCAGUGGAGGCUUUGCUGCCUCGUAUCUGCUUGGAAAACAACCUGGAGUGCUAAGCAGGUGCCUAGUGACGCUAUAAAAAGUAAAAGAGGAAACAAGCAAUUAACCUAAAACAAACAGAUGGAGCAAGCUUUCCUUCCUCAGUUUCUCCAGCAAGCAGUUUGCAUUCUUCAGCUGCUUAAAAAGUAUAUGUACUGGGGUCACUGACAGCUGGUGUCAGCCUUCAGCACCACCCCUCCAAAGAGGGUCAUGGGGGUUUCCCCCCACGCAAUGAUAUCUCCCUUCAGGUUUCCUGCUUUGCACUGUGCAAGUGCCCGAACGUCUGCAGGGCUGAGGACUUGGCUCCACAGGUUCACGUGUGUCAUCCACCCCACAAACCCAUUGGAGAAUGUCCCAAGAAGAGUGUCUCUGUCCUUCCCAAGGACAAGCAUCCCUCCAGCCUGGCUCACGUAGCCUCUCUGAAUGCUCUUUGCAUCACCAGCAGCUCCAUUGAGCCACAGAUUUGCUAUUCCGGACUGGGAAGCCCAUGCCAUGCAGUAAUGCAGCCAAUCCCGUGCCUUGUGGUAGAGGGGGAAGCUGACGAAAUGGCCUCCUAUCCACAAUCCCACCUCUGUGCCUGUGGUCAUCACCAGCUCGUUGUCCCUCUCCCGUGUGGAGUAGGAAAGAACAGUCUGAGUGCCCACAUGCUGGGCUUGUGUCCAGAAGCACAGGGUGAAGGCUUGGAGAGACAUCUCAUGGCGGGGACGAACCUCCACAAAGCUCUCAAUGUUUUCCACGGGGAAGUAGAAAGCUGGGAAAGUGCUGCAUGUAAUACCUGAAAUGAUUGAGAAGCCACCUGUUACGUCCUCUGUGGUGCUUAUAAAUGAGCCCAGCUCCUACAGAAUACACCCACAGGUGCUGGCAGGGGCUGCCUCAGCCAUUGGUUUGGCUCCCUUACCCAACCCUUUUGGGAAAAAGUCCUUCUUUUUCCCUUCCUUCCUUUGUUGCUGUCUUUUGUAAAAUGAGGACAAUGAUUAUUUAUCCUGGGGGAACAGUGAGCUUUAAUGCCUCCCUGUUUGUAAACCUGUGCUUACAUGUUCCAGGACAAGCUGCAGUUGUUGGGAGAGGCACUAGAUUUGGGCAGGGUUUAAUGAUGCUGGAGCUCAUGGAUGUCUUCCAGUUGGCCUAGGCGUGGAACAAGGUGCUACCUGCAUGCAUCAGUACCAAACCUGUUGAUGAUGUAGGCCAUCAAGAACAGCAGGCCUGGGCCAUCCUUGGAAGGAAAGCUGGACUUGGAAACAGAGUGUUUCUUACCUGUGUGGCUCACUCCAUUCAGGAACUCUUUCUUCAUGUCUUGGAGCUGUGUCUGGAUUUGUUCCAGUUUGUGGCUGAGCUCUUCUGGCUGGCAUUGUUCUAGAGCAAUCAGACAGAUGGGUUUACUGAGAGCCAGGAGCUACGCGUGGUAAUUCUGCUUGCCAGUUUGCAGGAGGUUUAGAGGAAACCUUUGUUUUAAAAUGCAGUGCACUGCCCUAAUUACAGCACUUGACUCAUUAGCCAUGGCAGAGCUGUCUGUACACCCGUCCGUGUGCUUCACCCAUGCAGAGGCAGGCACACUCAACAUGCUGCUUGUGUGGAGUCACAGAGCAAUACGACCCUAUAUAUAGGAUGAUAGGCUAUACGGCACUCCACUGCUGCACCAUCAGAAGCAAGAUGCAUGGCAGGGACAUGGCUGUUCUUGGGGAUUGCAAUCACAGCUUGACCUAAUUGAAAUGGUUUGCAGCCCAGCUCCUUCCUGCCCCGUACCUUGUUUGGGCCUGGCUUGGAAGGAGGCCUCCACCACGCGGCCGUGCAGGGGCUGUGCGUGCCGGUAGUCGUUGCGCAGCGUCCUGUUGUGCCAGUCCAGCAAGGUGUUCUCCAGCAGGCCAAUCUGGGGGCAGGGCAGCCUUGUUAGGAGGGCAGCGGGACCCAGGGCUUAGCCUAGAAGUGCAGGGCAGGUCCUGCAGCUGGGGGUUAAACACAGCCCUUUGUGAGAGGGUCUCUCCCUGAGCAUUGGCAAGGGAAGGGAACAGCCCAGCAAGGCUCUUAUCAGCAGAGUCGUGCUGAUGAAGGUGUUUUGCCUGAAGGAAGUAAUUUUAAGUGUUAUGCAUGGAUGCAAUUAUUCUGUGGCGUGCUGCCUAAUUACAGGUGCCUGCUGCUAAUGCCUUCCCCACCACAAAGUAUUCCUUUUUUAAACACAAAUGCACUGUCAUCCUCCACUGCUGGCAUCUCCACUUGACCUUGUUCUCCUGGACACAGUUUGAUGCUUUUUUUUUCCACUGCAGAAGAUGAACUGCUCUGCAAGACUCUCCGUACUUUUCACCUCGUUGAUUCUGGCUGGUCUCUUUUGUGCUUCAUCGUGGCUGAACAGCUGAGCAGAGCCUUGUUAUUGCUCAACAGACCUCGGGUCUAACAGCCACCAGUAAUUCCAGUUGCUUUCGAGUCUAUCCCUAAGGCCCUAUGAAAGACACCCCCGUAGUUCUGUCAGGCUCUUCUCUUAGGUCGCUGGAGAAUGGAGAAUGAAACUGGCGUGGAAAGAAAGCAUGGAGGAAAGAGAAACUGCUGUGGCUGCUGAGCAGCCCUCAGGUACCUGUGUGUGUGACAGGACGAUGGGGGAGUCGAAGAUGGUCCAGGUGACACUCUCAGAGCAGGGUGGGGUUGUGAGCGAGCCCUGGUACCUGUAGAAGUGUGAGAGGUUUUCUGGCAGCAUGGCUUGGACGUCCAGAGAGGUGAGCUUGGUUGACUGACCUCAAAAGGAAACAGAAGCAGUGUUAGCUGUGAGCAAAGCCAGCAGCAGGGCUGUCCCCAGCCCCAGUACGUACGUGGAGGCUUAGAGAGCAUGGAGGAUGGAGAAGGGCAACCCCAGCUCUUACCUGCAAACCUGAUUUUUGCCAAUUUGGAAAUGAAUUCACUGUAGUAGGUAUUCUCCAGGUGUCCUUCCUAAACACAACAUAGAGUUGAAAGGUUGCUGAGCUGCCCGGCCUCCAGUAGCACUGCUCAGCCUCAGUAUCUUGUAGGCCAGGCAUGCAGCCCUACUGCAUGCAGCUGGACCUUCCCAGCGUGGGAUGAAUGGUGACCAUGGGCUGUCAUUGCUCAGCUUCCCAGGGGUCAAACCUACCACAUACAAGAAGGCAAGCACCGCCAGUCCAUUGGGUUUGUCUUUGGCUUCUUCAAAGCUUGAGUAGUCUGCAGAGUUGUAAUGGACGAUGUGCAGCUGCCAGGAGAGAGACAGGGCCGUGGAGCAAGAGCUGACACAAGAUUUCCUCUUCCUCAGCACCCUAAAGGGCUACAUCCCAACCCCCCUAGCCCCGUCCCUCCAGCCCCCUUUGCAGGUACCUCUGCCACGUAUCUCAUCCCAUCCAACGUGUGCUCGGAGCCGCUGGUCUCCAGGUCCAGGCCUCCCCAGUGCAGGUGCAUCUGCACAGCGGUGUAGGGGCGUGGGAGCCCACGGGAGAUGGACAGGGUGGGUGGCAAAUCGAUCUGGACUGCAAAACAGGAUUGGAGAUGGCCAAAGUGUGGAGCUGGCUCCGCUAGCUGUGUCUGCAGGGCUUUUCCCAGCUGGGCAGCUCUGGGUUUUUUUUCUCAGGCACCAAUAAAAAUGCUUUAAUGUUUGUUCUUGGCA